GAUGAACGCUGGCGGCGUGCCUAAUACAUGCAAGUCGAGCGAACAGACGCGGAGCUUGCUCCUCUGACGUUAGCGGCGGACGGGUGAGUAACACGUGUAUCACCUACCUAUAAGACUGGGAUCACUUCGGGACACCGGAGCUAAUACCGGAUGAUCUAUUGAACCGCAUGGUUCAUUAGUGAAAGACGGUUUUGCUGUCACUUAUAGAUGGAUCCGCGCCGCAUUAGCUAGUUGGUAAGGUAACGGCUUACCAAGGCGACGAUGCGUAGCCGACCUGAGAGAGUGAUCGGCCACACUGGAACUGAAACACGGUCCAGACGCCUACGGGAGGCAGCAGUAGGGAAUCUGCCGCAAUGGGCGGAAGCCUGACGGAGCAACGCCGCGUGAGUGAUGAAGAUCUUCGGAUCGUAAAACUCUGUUAUUAGGGAAGAACAAAUGUGUAAGUAACUAUGCACGGCUUGACGGUACCUAAUCAGAAAGCAACGGCUAACUACGUG
rnacentral:rRNA from 1 species